UAUAUUUCCUAGGUUGAUAUUUAGUAAAGGCCAAUUUGCAAAAAAAAUCCACUAGUUUUGAGUUUUUGUAAAACCGGACCACCUUUUUCGUUUUUACAGAUUCGAUCCACUUUUUUAAAAAAAUGACCAAACUACCCCACUUUCAAAAUACAUAAAAAGUACAUACAUUAAUUGUCUUGAAAAAUACAACUGACAAAUUAUUAUUACAGCUAUUUUUUUCUUGAAAAAUAAAAUUCUCAUUAACAUACAAAUAAAAAAUAUCUAAUAAUAAAAAUUAAAAAAAAGAAUGGAAUACACCUUAAAUGGUGCAACAUCGUUUCAAAUUGUGCAAUAUUUCUUCCAAAUAGUGUAAUAUUUGUGUGCAAUAUUUGCACAAUUUAUAUAAUAUUACAUAAUUUUUUAUACUAAAUUACGAAUAAUAUAGUAUAUUACGCGCAAAUAAUAUAACAUAUUACAAUAUACUAUAAAAAUUAUGCAUUAUAUGUAUAAACGGUGAAUAUUUUGCACUAUUUGUACAAAUAUUUACACCAUUGUAUAGAUGUUGCAUUAUUUUGAGAGAAUGUUGUACUAUUUAGAUAUUAUAUUACACUAUUUUUUUUCAAAAAUUAAAAUAUAUUGUAUAUUAAUAAAGUGUUAAAUUUUUUGAAAAUGACAACUGCUAAGUCAUAAUUACAUGUACAUUUCUCGAGAAACGAAAAUCCUCAUUUAAUUUAGAUAAAAUAAAAAAUAAAAUAUCAUUAAUAACAUGAAAGAGUGCAAUAUCCUCUUAAAGAGUGCAAAUAUAGUCUCAAAUAGUGCAACACUCUCUUCCAAAUAGUACAAUAUUUCUGUAAAUAGUGCAAUAUAUGCAUCGUUAAUACACAUAUUGCAUGAUUUUUAUACAAAAUUACGAAUAAUAUAAUAUAUUACGUGAAAAUAAUACGAAAAUAAUAUAACAUAUUACAAUAUACUGUAGAAAUCAUGCAUUAUAUGUAUAAACGGUGAAUAUUUUGCACUAUUUGUACAAAUAUUUACACAAUUUGCAUAGAUGUUGCACUAUUAUGAGUAAUGUUGCACCAUUUAGAUAUUAUGUUGCACUCUUUUUUUAAAAAAAUUAAAGUGUAUUGUAUAUUAAAUAAAGUGUUAAAUUUCUUGAAAAUGACAACUGCUAAGUUAUAAUUACAUGUACUUUUUUGGAAGAACGAGAUCCUCAUUUAAUUAAGAUAAAAUAAAAAAUAAAUUAUCAUUAAUAUAAUGAAAGAUUACAACAUUAAAAUAAAAAUAGUGUAACAUUCUCUCUAAUGUUGCACCAUUUAAGAAGAUGUUGCACUAUUUGAGAGAAUGUUGCACGCUUUCAUCUUAUUUAACAAUACUUUACUUUUUGUAUUUGUUCUUAAAUGAGCAUUUUCGUCUCUCGAGAAAGAUACAUACAAUUAUGACUUAGUAGUUGCUAUUUUCAAGAAAUUGCUGUAAGGACUGAGAUUUUAUAGUGCUACUAAAC
rnacentral:lncRNA from 1 species